AGAGAUGGAGUGCAUCUGCCCCAAGUGGAGGCAGCAGCAGCAGCAGGAGGGAGGUGUCGGGGCAGUGGGGCCGCAGGGCCAGUCCUCAGGUUGGUUACUCAGUUGUCCUCCCUGGUCUGUCCUCAAGGCGUGAUUUGGGCUGGGGUUCUGGCUGCCGUCCAGCCCUCCCUGGUUGCUGUGAGCCUGGCUCUCUAGCCAGCCCUAGAAGUCCGUGAGUUAGUUCUCUGUUGCUUGCAACCAAGAACCCUGACAAGAAAGAAAACUGGCUCAGAGAGGCUGAGUAACCUGCUCAAGAUGACACAGCUUGUGGGUGGCUGAGUUGGCCUUCCAACCCAGAUUCCUGUCAUGUUCCUCAAGCCGACAGGUUCAGCUUGGUUGUGACCUCUGCUAGAAGCCCUCCCUGGCCUCCCUGUGCACUGAGCUGGUGGUUCCUCCUUUGCGCCCCAGGGAAUGGAAUAAGAAUGGGAUAAGUAUAACACAAUGAGACGAAUGCAGAACCAACUAGAUGUACACCCAACAAUGUGGAUGAACCUUAAAACAGUGCUGCCUGAAGAAGGCAAGAAACAGAAUGAAAUCUGCAGCACAUCAUUCAUAUAAACUAAAAAUACAUGCACAGAGAAAGGCCACUUUUUUUUUUUUGGAGACAAAGUUUCGCUCUUGUCACUCAGGCUGGAGUGCAAUGGCACGAUCUCGGCUCACUGCAACGUCCACCUCUAGGGUUCAAGCGACUGUCCUGCCUCAGCUUCUAGAGUAGCUGGGAUUAUAGGAGCCCACCACCAUGGCCGGCUAAUUUUUGUCUUUUUAGUAGAGACGGGGUUUCACCAUGUUGCCCAGGCUGGUCUCAAACUCCUGACCUCAGGUGAUCCACGUGCCUCGGCCUCCGAAAGUGCUGGGAUUACAGGCGUGAGCCACCGCACCCAGUCAGCAACGUAUGUUUUGUAGAGACACAGACAAAGAUGUGAUGUCAAACACACUAAUGUGGUUGCCUCAUUUAUGGAUGGGGGACUGGGCUGGUGAAUGAGGAUUAAAGGAAUAAAUAAAUAAAACAAGAGAGGGCCUCUGUACAGAACGGUGAUGACAGCGUGCCGUCGAGGAGAAUGAUGAACUCAAACUUUUGCACCUGAGAGCCAAACAAAAGCUCAAAACCAAAAUCUCUCUUAGAAAUGAUGCCACUGACUUUAGGAUGGCACUCAUAUCUGUGUGAGUGGGAGAGAGAAGGGUUUGGGGCAGGGAUUUGACUGUAGCUGUAAUGUUUUAUUCCUUUAAAAAAGAUAAGAUAAUCUGAAACAAAAUGUUAAUAUCUGUUGAAUCUGGGGAGAGGCUAUGAGGGUUUCUGUUAAACCAUUUUGUGUACAUUUUAAAUACAGUCAUGCAUGAGUUAAUGAUGGGGAAUAAGUUCUUAGAGAUACGUUGUUAAGCAGUUUUGUUAUUGUGUGAACAUUAUCGAGUGUACUUACACAAACUUAGGAUGGAAUAGCUGACUAUAUAACUUAGACUAUAUGGUCUAGCCUAUUGCUUGAAGGCUGCAAACCCAUACUCCAUGUUACUGUACUGAAUAAUGAAGACAAGUGUAAUACGAUGGCAAGUAUUUGUGUAUCUAAACAUAGAAAAGGUACAGUAGAAAUGUGGUAUCGUAGUCUUAUGAGAGUACUGUUGUAUAUGCAAUGCUUUGUUGACUGAAACAUCAUUAUGUGGUUCAUGACUGUAUAUCAUAAUUUUAAAAAAUAUUUUAAGAGGUUGCCAAUCAAGACACUACAAACUAAUUUUGUGGCUUUUGUCAAAAUUCAUUUCUUUCUUUCUUUUUUUUUUUUUUGUUUUGAGACAGGGAUCACUCAAGCAAUCCUUCUGCCUUAGCCUCCCAAGUUGGUGGGACUACAGUCUUGUAUGCCACCACGCUUGGCUAAUUUUUUUUUUUUUUAAAUUAUUGAAUAGAGAUGGGGUCUUGCUAUGUUGCCCAGGCUGAUCUCAAACUUCUGGACUCAAGUGAUCCUCCCUUCUUGUUCUCCCUAAGUGGGAUUACAGAUGUGAGCCACUGUGCCUGGCCCUGGCUAAAUUUUAAAUUAUUUUUGUAGUGACAGGGUUUUGCUAUGUUGCCCAGACUGUCUUGAACUCCUGGCCUCAUGUAAUCCUCCUGCCUUGGCCUCCCAAAGUAGAAUUCAUUUCUGUUGCUAGGUUGGCCUCUGAACAGUUUUACAGAGCUGAAUGCUCUAGUCUUCUGUGACACAGUCUUUUUCUUUUUUUUUUUUUUUUUUUUGAGACGGAGUCUCACUCUGUCACCCAGGCUGGAGUGCAUUCGGCUCAAUCUCGGCUUACUGCAACCUCUGCCUCCUGGGUUCAAGGAAUUCUCUUGCCUCAGCCUCCCGAGUAGCUGGGAUUACAGGCAUGCACCACCAUGCCCGGCUAAUUUUUGUAGUUUUAGUAGAGACGGAGUUUCAUCAUGUGGCCAAGUGGUCUUGAACUCCUGACCUCAAGUGAUCCACCCACCUCAGCCUCCCAAAGUGCUGGGAUUACAGGCAUGAGCCACCAUACCCGAUGACACAGUCUUAAUAAGGAGAAGAAUAUGAAGAAUUUGACUUUUUAUUGAUGCUAAAAGCAUUAAUAAAUAAGAUCUUUGGAAAAAUGUGGAAAAUGGAAAAUGUCACUGCCUGCUGUCUGUAGGGUGAAAUGAAAUGGCUAAAGAGCUAUAGGAGCAUUUUGUUCUCACUUGUUGGGUCAGAUCAACUUCCCAGGACUUUUUGGGAAGAUCACAAAUCCUAGACAAUCGUACUGCACUGCUCUAGGAAUUCUUGGAGGGCUGGAAGUCUCACAAUUAGGGCUUUUUCUCUGGGCACCAACCUGACACGCAUGGCAAGGGGGCUGAGCAGUUGUCUAUGGUAUAGAUGCUAUAUUCUAUGACUCCUGUUGGCCCUAGCCAUAGCUGAUUGGUAUAGAGGGUCAAAGCUGGGCCAAUCAGAUUAUCUGUCUCAAGAUUCUGGAAUUCUGAACUGGGGCAGAGACAGGGAGCUGUGGGAAUGUGGUUGCUUUAAUGGGAAUGUUCUGGUGAGGAGAUGCAUUGACUCCAGAUGCUUACAUCCUUUCCUGAGGCUCAAUUGUUCAACCUUUUCUUGAAAUUUAGGGCCAAACAAAAGGUCAAAACCAAAAUCACUCUUAGAAAUGAUGCCACCGACUUUAGGAUGGCACUCAUAUCUGUGUGAGUGGGAGAGAGAAGGGCUUGGGGCAGGGAUUUGACUGUAGUUGUAAUGUUUUAUUCAUUAUUGUGAAUUUUGUCAUAUUAUUGUGAUUUGUCAGGGUUGAUUUCUAUUACUUGUCCUAUGGAGUAGGUUACUAUAUUUUUGUCUUCUCACCUUCCCCUGGUGCUGCUGUUAAUACAUAUGGUAUCUUUAUUGAGUUAGAAAAAGAUGCCUGACUCUGGGUGGACAAGCAAGAAAAAGCUGUUCUUUCCUUCAGGCGGACACAGCCUCUAACGAGGGUGGAAGGUUUGGCCAGUGGAGCACGGGCUGGGUUUCAGGCCAUACUCUGCUCACUUCCUUGGCCCAGCCCUUUUGUGCAUUGCACAGAUGACAUCCCCAUUUAUGGCGGCCUUACACCUGUCCACCAUGUGCUUUUGGGAUGAUCUGUCUUCUGCAGCUAGGCAUUGUUCAGAAUAUGAAGGGCUAUUCCAGACAAGAUUCACGGGACAUGGACUAUCAUGCAAGUCCUAUUCUGGACUUUAAGGCUCAUGACAAAGAUGUUAAAAGUCAAACCUGCUCAAAGUCAAGACUUAAAGGAAAUGUAGAAAAACUCUCUGGCCUGAUAAAGUCCACAGAAGCCUCAUCUUCUGAUGAAUGAUCUUCAGGCUUGAAAGGAUGCCUUCCUCCAAACAGGCUGGCAGACAUUCUUGAAAUGUCAAAGGAUAGGCCAGGGGUGGUGGCUCACGCCUGUAAUCCUAGCACUUUGGGAGGCCAAUGUGGGCAGAUUGCCUGAGCUCAGGAGUUCAAGACCAGCCUGGGUAAUGUGGUGAAACCCCAUCUCUACUAAAAUACAAAGAAUUAGCUGGACAUGGUGGUGCGCGCCUGCAGUCCCAGCUACUCGGGAGGCUGAGGCAGGAGAAUCACUUGAGCCCAGGAGGCGGAGGUUGCUGUGAGCCAAGAUUGCACCACUGCACUCCAGCCUGGGUGACAGAGCAAGACUCCAUUUCAAAAAAAAAAGAAAAAAAAGAAAGAAAGAAAGAAAUGCCAAAGGGUACUCUUCCAUCCCCCUGUGAAAAAAACUAAAAAACUAGUGGUGAGAAGUUAAGAGCAAGAUCACAGGAACAGAUGACAAGGAGGUGUCUGAAGGCCACAAUGAGAGUGACAUGGAAACCAGUCAAGGCACUGAUGGCCAUGGGAAGAAAAUGAUCUCAAGGAAGAGAUAAUUCCUUGAGAGGAGGCUGCUCCAGCUCUGAUUUGUUCAUUCAUUUUACAGUCAGGAAGCCACUCCACCCCAGAAGAAGGUAAUAUGAGUCCUACUACCUUUCUGAAAGGAAGGUGAGUACAGAAAAGCAAGACAGUAACUUUCCCAAGCCAGGGAACCCCUGUCUCCCCAACUUCUGCAUCAUGUAGACCAUUUGUGUCUACAACUUACAGGAGGCAGUGUAGACUAGCAGUUGAGAAUGUGAGUCUAGAAUCAGAAUGCCUGGGUUCAAACCUCAACUCUGUCACUUUCCAGCUAUUUGGCCUUGGACAUAUUACUUAAACAUUUGUGUGUUUUAAAACGUGUACACAAUCCUUUGACUCUCUUUCCAUCAAGAAGUGGAGCCUAUGUCCCCUCCCUUUGAACCUGGGUGGAAAUGUGGGAGUGCCUAGACAAAUAGAAUGUGGCAAAAGUGACACUGUGUGAUUUCCAAGGCUAGGUUAGAAAAGACCCUGCAGCUUCUGAUGAUUCCUUUAGGGACACUCAUGUCGGGAGGCUUCAGCUGCUGUGAAAGAAACUCAGCUACCCUGAGGCUGCCUUGUAGAGGGACUGCAUUUAAAGUGAGAGAUUCCUGAGGAGUUCCAGCCAUCCAGCCCCAAGCAGUGUGAACCUCCUAGUCUAGACCCCAGCAUUUGAGCUGACCUCAGCCCCAGCCACCAAUUGACUGCAAACUCAUGAGACACCCUGAGUGAGAACUGCCUAGCUUAGUCUCUGUCAACCCUCAAAUUUCAGGAACAAAAUAAAUGAUUGUUGUUGUCUUAAGACCACUGUUUGGGGAUGGUUUCUUAUCAUGCAAUAGAUAGCUGAUGCAGACUUUUCUAUAACCUAGAAACGGAAUGCUGCCAUCACAGAACCUAAGUCAUGUGGCUUUAGGACUGGGAGAUGGGUAGAGAUUGUAAGGACUUUGAGGAUAUUGUUGAUGGAAGUCUGAUAGUUCUCAAGGAAGUUGCUGGUGAGGGCUUAAAGGAAAGUGAGAAAUUUUUAUUAGAAGCAGGAGGAAAGGGGACAAACCCUUAUUACGUGGUGGAAGAAAGUUAGUAACAUUGUCACUUGAAGCUAUGUGAGCAAUAGAAAAUGUGCCUAAUGAAGGCUGGGCACGGUGGCUCACACCUCUAACCCCAGCACUUUGGGAGGCCGAGGUGGGCAGAUCACAUGAGGUCAGGAGUUCGAGACCAGCCUGGCCAACACGGAGAAAUCCUGUCCCUACUAAAAAUACAAAAAUUAGCUGGGCUUGGUGGCUCAUGCUUGUAAUCCCAGCUACUCGGGAGGCCGAAGCUGCAGAAUCGCUUGAGCCCAGAGGGCAGAGGUUGCAGUGAGCUGAGACUGUGCCACUGCCCUCCAGCCUGGGUGACAGAGUAAGACUCUGUCUCAAAAAAAAAAAGAAAAAAAAGAAAAAUGAAAAAGAAAAUAUGCCUAAUGAACUAAUGGUUUGGGCUAAAACAAUUUUUAAGCAGACUGUUGAAAAUGCUAGUUGGAUUAGAAAAUGCUAGUUGGAUUAUUUUAGCUGUAUAUGAUAAAGACAGAGAAAGAUGAGUUAAAAGGAAGCUUUAACUUUCAAGCAAAAUUUAUAAAACAUAUACAAGAGCCAGGGGCUUGCUGGAUUUGAAAAUAAAUCUGCUUUUCAUUCUCAGCCUCCCAGAUGGCAAAAGAUUCUCAAAGUAUGAAAGGGCUUCAGGACAAAGAUAAAACCCAGAGUGGGACUAUAAGAACCUUUGUUAAAAUCUCAGAAAUAUCUAAGGCUUCAUAAAAUAUUUUGAAUAGACAAAGGCCCUCUAAGUAUUUCAAGAGUGUGCCUCAGUGCUCGCUUCAGCAGCACGUAUACUAAAAUUGGAACAAUACAGAAAAGAUUAGCAUGGCCCCUGUGCAAGGAUGACAUGCAAAUUCAUGAAGCACUUCAUAUUAAAAUAAAAACAAAUUAAAAAUAAAAUGAAAAAGAGUGUGCCUCACAGAUCCUCUUCAUUAAACAACAGGGCUUCUAAGUAUCUUAAGUAAAUCGUUUUACACCAGCCUCACAUUGAGAAUGUAGAGAAUGUUUUCUUGAUGAAAUGUUUGGUUAUAGCUUUUGACUAACAGAGUGAGCCCCAAUAGGAUUCAUGGGAAACCCACACAGUUUUUAAUAGAAUUAUUUUGUCAGAAGCACCACCAGCUUGGGCAAAAAGGGUCAGAAUAGUGUGAAAUGAAAAAAGGCUUUUGGACCCCCAAAAUUCUAUGGGAAGGAAACAAGCUGAAAACUACUCAGUUGGAAACACCAGGUGUAUUGGUCUGUUUUCACACUGCUGAUAAAGACAUACCUGAGACUGGGCAAUUUACAAAAGAAAGAAGUUUAAUUGGACUUACAGUUCCACAUGGCUGGGGAAGCCUCACAAUCAUGGCAGAAGG
rnacentral:lncRNA from 1 species